rnacentral:tRNA from 2 species
GACUCGUUAGCUCAGUCGGUAGAGCAACUGACUUUUAAUCAGUGGGUCGUAGGUUCGAUUCCUACACGGGUCA